GGUCAUCUUCUGUCCCAGUGUCAACUUAUCUCCCAGUGUUGAGGUCAGCGUAGGGGGAGGCCCAAAGGCAGGAAGAAAAACAACAGUCUGAAAGGCUGGGAUUCGAUCUCACGGCCUUACCGCAGCCUGGAGCUGACCCAGGAUGGGGAGACCAGGGGGACAGAGGAUGGGAGCAAAACCCUGGACCAAGAACAUUCUGGAGCUGCAUCCUAAGAAACGUGACUUUGGUGAGCUCUCUGAUCCAGACCCCCCAGGUGAGAGUGCAAAAAAGAGCCUGAUGGAGCCUCCCAGUCCCCUCAGGAGCCGAUGGAAGAUGCCGCUCCCUUGCUUUCCCCAUUAGCUUCCCCAGAUCCUCAAACCCAGUAUCCUUUG
rnacentral:lncRNA from 13 species